rnacentral:rRNA from 1 species
AGUCGGAAUUGCUGUAAUGGCAGGUCAGCAUACUGCCGUGAAUACGUUCCCGGGCCUUGUACACACCGCCCGUCACGCCAUGAGAGUUAGGAAUACCCGAAGCCUGUGAGCCAACUUUAUAAGAGGCAGCAGUCGAAGGUAGAACUAAUGAUUGGGGUGAAGUCGUAACAAGGUAUC